GCUCACAGGUAAGGUUAUAACAUAUCACUAAGCCUGGUACUUAAUGAUGUGACUCUCUGAUCCUGUUUGUGCCCUGCCCUCAAGAAGCAUUGUGACAUCACUGGGCUAAGCAACAAGGUUACUGGGAUCUCAAUGUAGAUGUUAUGUCCAGACAGAGGCUGCUGUGAGCUGAAUCGUCUGCUUCCCAAAAUUCCUAUGUUGACACCUUAACCCCCAGCACCUAAGAAUGUGACUAUAUUUGGAGAUAGCAUCAUCACAGAGUCUCAGGGAUGUCUUUAUCAGCAGUAUGAAAAUGAACCAAUUCAUCCCACUUCACUGUUUGAAGAAAAACUGCUGGCUCUAUGGGGUCUUCAAUUUACUGAAUGAUUCCUAGAUGCCUGGCCCUAAUUCACUCAAGAGUCAAGAAAGGUGCCACCUUAUGGUGCUCACUGGGCGGUUGUGGAUGUCUAACCUCAGUGCUAGUCACACAGAACCUGAAGCCAGGCUGGCUGCUCCUGUAAAUGGCAUGGAAUCCCAGGGAAUAUCCUGCAUUCUCAGUGUCCAGCUGUCUGAUGCCACAGUUGUUUAUGAUGAUCGAGGACAACUACGUUUUUCUGAGGAGACUUACCACCUCAUGGCUGAGGCAUUCACAAAAAAUAGCUCACGUUAUGUUUUGCUUAUUUGCA
rnacentral:lncRNA from 10 species